rnacentral:rRNA from 1 species
UGAUCCUGGCUCAGAGCGAACGUUAGCGGCGGGCUUAACACAUGCAAGUCGAGCGAGAAAGGGGCUUCGGCCCUGAGUACAGCGGCGGACGGGUGAAUAACACGUAGGUAACCUUCCUUUCAGCGGGGGACAACGGUCCGAAAGGACCGCUAAUACCGCAUACGUUCCCUGGGACCUCGGUCCCGGGGAGGAAAGGCCCGCAAGGGCCACUGGAUGAGGGGCCUGCGUAGCAUCAGCUAGUUGGUGGGGUAAUGGCCUACCAAGGCGAAGACGCUUAGCUGGUCUGAGAGGAUGAUCAGCCACACUGGGACUGAGACACGGCCCAGACUCCUACGGGAGGCAGCAGUGGGGAAUAUUGGACAAUGGGCGCAAGCCUGAUCCAGCCACGCCGCGUGAGUGAUGAAGGCCU